CUCUGUGUUUGUCCCUCUCUUACCAUGUGGCUUGCCAGCAUCCCUUCCCCUUCUGCUAUGACUGGAAGCUUCCUGAGGCCCUCACCAGCCACAGAUGCUAGUGCCAUGCUUCUUGUGCAGCCUGCAGAACGGAUCCAGAUCUGUUUGAAGAGGAAAGCAAAUGGCAGAGCAUCUCACCUCUAGACCAACUGACCUUUGCGUCAGCAUCCAUCAGUGUUCAUUACAGGACAUGGUGCCCACAACAGAGGAGCAAAAAUAUUCCUUCUGAAAAGCUGUCCUUCAGCAUCUGAUCUCCACGCA
rnacentral:lncRNA from 1 species